UACGUAGGGCGCAAGCGUUGUCCGGAAUUAUUGGGCGUAAAGAGCUCGUAGGCGGUUUGUCGCGUCUGCUGUGAAAACUGGAGGCUCAACCUCCAGCCUGCAGUGGGUACGGGCAGACUAGAGUGCGGUAGGGGAGACUGGAAUUCCUGGUGUAGCGGUGAAAUGCGCAGAUAUCAGGAGGAACACCGGUGGCGAAGGCGGGUCUCUGGGCCGUAACUGACGCUGAGGAGCGAAAGCGUGGGGAGCGAACAGG
rnacentral:rRNA from 1 species